rnacentral:rRNA from 1 species
AUUGAACGCUGGCGGCAGGCCUAACACAUGCAAGUCGAACGGUAACAGAAAGCAGCUUGCUGCUUUGCUGACGAGUGGCGGACGAGUGAGUAAUGUCUGGGAAACUGCCUGAUGGAGGGGGAUAACUACUGGAAACGGUAGCUAAUACCGCAUAACGUCGCAAGACCAAAGAGGGGGACCUUCGGGCCUCUUGCCAUCGGAUGUGCCCAGAUGGGAUUAGCUAGUAGGUGGGGUAACGGCUCACCUAGGCGACGAUCCCUAGCUGGUCUGAGAGGAUGACCAGCCACACUGGAACUGAGACACGGUCCAGACUCCUACGGGAGGCAGCAGUGGGGAAUAUUGCACAAUGGGCGCAAGCCUGAUGCAGCCAUGCCGCGUGUAUGAAGAAGGCCUUCGGGUUGUAAAGUACUUUCAGCGGGGAGGAAGGGAGUAAAGUUAAUACCUUUGCUCAUUGACGUUACCCGCAGAAGAAGCACCGGCUAACUCCGUG